AUUGAACGCUGGCGGCAUGCUUUACACAUGCAAGUCGAACGGUAACAGCACUUCGGUGGCUGACGAGUGGCGAACGGGUGAGUAAUACAUCGGAACGUGCCUAGUAGUGGGGGAUAACUACUCGAAAGAGUAGCUAAUACCGCAUGAGAUCUAAGGAUGACAGCAGGGGACCUUCGGGCCUUGCGCUACUAGAGCGGCUGAUGGCAGAUUAGGUAGUUGGUGGGAUAAAAGCUUACCAAGCCGACGAUCUGUAGCUGGUCUGAGAGGACGACCAGCCACACUGGGACUGAGACACGGCCCAGACUCCUACGGGAGGCAGCAGUGGGGAAUUUUGGACAAUGGGCGCAAGCCUGAUCCAGCAAUGCCGCGUGCAGGAUGAAGGCCUUCGGGUUGUAAACUGCUUUUGUACGGAACGAAAAGCCCUCUUCUAAUACAGGAGGGUCAUGACGGUACCGUAAGAAUAAGCACCGGCUAACUACGU
rnacentral:rRNA from 1 species